rnacentral:tRNA from 1 species
AGCCUCGUAGCUCAGCGGGUAGAGCGUGCGCAUUCAAAGCGAAGGCACCUUCCAUGCGUAGGUUCGAAUCCAACCGGAGCCA